rnacentral:rRNA from 1 species
GACGUAGGGCGCGAGCGUUGUCCGGAUUUAUUGGGCGUAAAGAGCUCGUAGGCGGUUUGUCGCGUCUGCUGUGAAAACCUAAGGCUCAACCUUGGGCUUGCAGUGGGUACGGGCAGACUAGAGUGCGGUAGGGGUGACUGGAAUUCCUGGUGUAGCGGUGGAAUGCGCAGAUAUCAGGAGGAACACCGAUGGCGAAGGCAGGUCACUGGGCCGCAACUGACGCUGAGGAGCGAAAGCAUGGGGAGCAAACAGG